CUGGAAUUCUUUAGUUAAUCCUUCUUGUGUUAUGUGUUUCUGUAGAGCUGAUGGCCGAGGCGCGUGUCAUGGAUCAGAUGAGCAGUGGGGACAGCUCCUCAGAUUCCCACAGUUCCUCAUCCUCCAGUAGCGGGGACAGCUCCAGCAGCAGUGACUCAGAGGAUCGCCCCCCACAUAAUUUGGCCCCAGCUCCCCCCCAGAGCACCUCUGCUCUCAACACAUCUCAAAGCCGUGUGGAGGAGAGCAGCGGGCAUUUAAUGAACACACUUAAAAAUGAUCUCCAGUUGAGUGAGUCUGGGAGUGAAAGUGACGAUGACUAACUGCAAAGACGUGUGGGACACCUGAUGCUGAAAGAGGGUCAGGUGUUCAGGAAGUGUUUUCACUAGUUAACUUUGUGAUACCUGAAUCCAAAUCCCUGUCAACUUCUCAGUUAGGAAAUCUUUUUUUCCCCCCCAGUAAUACUUGGAUCAGCAAAAGCUGUGCAAUUGGACACAUUGCUGGGGGGGUUUCUGUAUUGGUAAAUUAAGAAAAAGUAUUUAUUUUGUUGAGAAUGCUACUGCAUAGAUGUUAGUUUUAUAGGAAUGUCCUAUAAUUGCUUCCUCAGAGGUUAUAGAAAUAUAUCUGUUUGUGAAAUAACUGUUUAGAAAGGUCACCAUGGUCGUCUUAUAAUAUAUACAUAAUUUUUUUUUUUUUUUUAGGCUUAAAAUACUCAAGCACAAGUGAUUCAGCAGCAUAUUAUAAGGAGUCUUAAGGAGCACCAGUAAAUUAAGGUGCCAAGCUCAAUCUCAGAUAUUUACACAUUACGCGACCUGCAAUACUUGAAUUUGUCUCUCUUUUGAUAAUUCUGAGACAUUUGCUUAUAACAAACUGUGCCUUGUAUAUAAGGUGUAUUUGACUAUCCAUCCCAUUCUCUUGCAUUUAAGUAUACCCUUUUUUUAUUGCAUAAAAAUAUAUACAUUUAGAGGUAGAAGUCUCUGUGUUGUGUGUGUCCCAAAAUCAACACUCUCACUCUUAAAGGAUGUCCUUAGCCAGUUCUUCUUGAGCACUAAUUGCAAAAUAUGAUGUGCCAUUCAGUGUAAUGUAGCAGGGUUGACUGGUGUGGUAAAUGUAGUUCUGUGGGAAGUGUUUGAUCCUUAAAAUUGUGUGUAGACUAAUAAAGAUUUCUUUUGUGAUAUUUGUUUGUUGAUCAUUUUAUUGUCUUCAUAUAGCAGAAUAUCAUUUUCAGCAUCUGAGCUGCAAAGUUUAACUGAGCUUCAUGUUAUGGACAGAUUAAUUUGAUCAAGUCUUAUCGAGUAAUUGUGAGAUAGGAAUUGUUGCUCUAAUUAUGGUGAGGGUUUCAACAUAAAUCUUUUUGAACGUUAUGCAGUGGCUCAUGAGACAUGCAUCUUUUAGAUGAAGAGAGACUGUUUGGAGGCACAAACUUUAAAACAUGCAUUGGUUUGUUUCUGAAACAAAGAUGUUGAAAUAAUGUUCCCUCUAUGACCCUGAGCAAGUGUGCAUGAACAUUUUUUAUUUAUUUUUUUGCGUAUACUGUAACGGUGUCUCUGUGCUAUGCAUGGUGAUUUUCAUAGCCUUUUCCCAUGAAACACUGUCAGAUGUUUAUAAGAAAGCAUUAAUAAAACCAGGUAAAAUCUUUCCACAUUUCACUUGC
ensembl:lncRNA